rnacentral:rRNA from 1 species
UAAAAGUCGUAACAAGGUUUCCGUAGGUGAACCUGCGGAAGGAUCAUUCAUAAUAAGUGUUUUAUGGCACUUUUUAAAUCCAUAUCCACCUUGUGUGCAAUGUCAGUCGAUCUUCUUCAUGGAGAUCGACCAAACAUCAACCUUUAUUUUUUAACUCUUUGUCUGAAAAAUAUUAUGAAUAAACAAUUCAAAAUACAACUUUCAACAACGGAUCUCUUGGCUCUCGCAUCGAUGAAGAACGCAGCGAAAUGCGAUACGUAAUGUGAAUUGCAGAAUUCAGUGAAUCAUCGAAUCUUUGAACGCAUAUUGCGCUCUUUGGUAUUCCGAAGAGCAUGCUUGUUUGAGUAUCAGUAAACACCUCAAAGCUUUUGGAUUUUUUAAUCGAAAAGCUUUGGACUUGAGCAAUCCCAACACCAAUCUUUUUGAGAUCGGUGGCGGGUUGCUUGAAAUGCAGGUGCAGCUGGACAUUCUCCUGAGCUAAAAGCAUAUUCAUUUAGUCCCGUCAAACGGAUUAUUACUUUUGCUGCAGCUAACAUAAAGGGAGUUUGACCGUAUUGGCUGACUGAUGCAGGAUUUCACAAGGGUCGGCAACGAUUCUUGUUAAACUCGAUCUCAAAUCAAGUAAGACUACCCGCUGAACUUAAG